UCCUCGUUGACCGAGGCAGUCUCGUAUGAAAAAUACAACAUACGACAAGGGUUGCGCUCGUUGCGGGACUUAACCCAACAUCUCACGACACGAGCUGACGACGGCCAUGCAUCACCUGUCACCGGUCCAGCAGACUGACUCCCAUGUUUCCAUGGGAUACGACCGGGAUGUCAAGCCCAGGUAGGGUUCUUCGCUUAGCAUCGCAUUAAACCACACGCUCCACCGCUUGUGCGGGUCCCCGUCAAUUCCUUUAUGUUUUAGCCUUGCGGCCGUACUCCACAGGCGGGGCACUUAACGCGUUAGCUACGACACCCAGGGGGUCUAAUCCCCGAAUGCCUAGUGCCCAUCGUUUACGGCGUGGACUAC
rnacentral:misc_RNA from 1 species